AAACUCUUUGUUUUAAAGACAGACUGCAAAUGCUUGUCUUGAUUACUUUCUUCAUAGAUGUUUGGUGCAUGAUACUUCUAAGGUUUGUGUGUUUAUCUAUCUAAUGUUUGGUGCCUGAUACUUCAAGGUUUGUGUGUUUAUCUUGGCACCUUGGGUUUUUUAGUAUACUAGAAAACUUUUACAUCGUCUAUUUGCUGAAAUUGGAUUUGUUAGAGAUAUCUGUUGUGUUUCCCUCUUGGGUAGCGACCGCAGCAUAGCUGUUAUUCCUCCAAAAAAACCAAACAGUACAUGCUGGAACUGUCUUUCAGGUUAUCUUCAAAUGCCUUGUGAUCCUUCUUCCUUCACAGCAACAUAACAGUUAUUUUAGGGAUAUAGGCAUAACUCAUACAGUCUAAUAAAUCGUAAUCAUAGGUCCAACAAUUGCCUGUCACUACACAAAUUAAAGUGCACAUUUGCUCUUGGGUGCUAAACUUUUGGAUUAAGAAUGGUAGAGUAGUCUUGGAUUGUGGUUUGCAGACGUAACUGAUUACUGUUUCUAGCCAAUUUUCUCGGUAGUAAUUCUAAAGAUCACUUAUGAACUGAAUUUCGUUGUCAUGAUCACAUGCCUUUCUUUCUAAUUUGUUGAUCUUACAACAAGUUGUGAUUGGCUUAUCCUCUCUGGUUCCUUCAUCUUCCUCUUCUCUUCUACAUCUUGCUGAUAGGAGUUUAGUCUUCGUCUUAGCUGAAAUUUCAAUUUCAGUUGCCAUUAACAUGCAGUUGCACAUCCUCUAUGGUUCCUUCAUCUUCCUCUUCUCUUCUACAUCUUGCUGAUAGGAGUUUAGUCUUCGUCUUAGCUGGAAUUUUAGCUAGAAAGUAUGCAACCAGUCUUUGUAGAAGUAUAUUUGCUUCUUGAAAGGAAACUGUUUGGGUUUCUGUGUCUUGUAUUUCCUCCUUAAGCAUUAUUUUUAUUUUGCUCGUUCUGCACGAAUUUGCUACAAAAUGAUGUGUACUUGACUGGCUUAUAUUUGUCAAUGACACAGUCACACAGGACAGUGGUCAUAGUUCAGUCCAAUACAAUGCACCUCUGUCUUUGGUCAGUGAGGUGUAGGGUCCAAUGGCUUUUAGGUCAUCACCAAAUUUAGCUUUCUUCUUUCUCCCCAAUUUCUCAUUUUGUUUAUUGAAAGAGAACAAAUGCUAUCCAUUAAGUAAAGUGAGGGUUUGUUAUAGUGAUUCGUGUGGUUGGUUACCCCUUUGAAAGUUGCAGGUCCUUGCUAAUAAGAAUAGCAACAUACCCAGUGAAAUCUCACAAAGUGGGGUCUGGGGAGGGUACGUAGCGUGUACGCAGACCUUACCACUACCUCGUGAAGUUAGAGAGACUGUUUUCAAAAGACCCUUGGAUCAAGGGUCUUUGCUACUGCUAGGGGUAAAUAAUUCUUCAACAUUGCCACAAGUAGGUAGUCUACGUCUAUUAGAUUCCUAGAAAGAUGAGCAACUAAGAACAGAGGGAUUUAAAAAAAAAUGAAAGGUAUAUCUUUGAUCUUUAGAUUUGAAGAUAAGAUGAAAAACCAGAAGGUAAAGAUAUAGAGAUCUUCCAUUCUUUCAAAAGCCAAAUACAGUGGAUUACUUUCAUAUCAACAUGUGUUCAUGAUCUUGGUGGAAUUCCUAAUCUAGUAAGUUUUGGUGAAUAACUGGCCCUCCUUGUACACUCAAAGAGAACUAGAAAUUUCUGAAAAAGGGUAACUAAUAAGUAUAAUUAAAGUAAGUCUAUAAAUAAGAUGUAGAAGGCCUUGAAGGAGGAGCCCAGAAAACAUCAUGGGGCAUUCGGCCAUUAGACAAAACAUUAGUAGGUAAUUGUACAUUUCUCUCAUAUGAGAAGCAACUGUUUCCUGCUUCAGGCCUCUGUUUUGUCUACAUGCCUGCUCUAUAAUGCCAUUUGCUUUAUAAUGCAACAUCUAGAUCUUGCUAGGUUCCUCCGAUUUCUCUUCCAGGUUUUACACUGCAUCUUUUUUUGUUUCCUAUUCUAUCUUCCACUGCCAAAGUUUUUGAAGCUUCCUUGUACUCUAGAACAUCUCCAGCCUCCUCACUCUUUUUUUGCAGUUGGCUUCUUCAUCACCAUGCCUGUGAACUGGUUUUGUUUGCAGUCUUUUGAACCGGUAAUUUUUUUGUUAAGAAGUCCCACAUCGAUGGGAAUGUGGUCUCCUUAUGUGGAUUUGGACAAACCUCUCCUCAUGAGCUAGCUUUUGAGGUUGAGUUAGGCGCAGCCGUGCAGGUGUCAUAUUUUAACAUGGUAUCGGAGUCAGGUCCAUCCCAAUUUGUUGUUCACCGAUGUUGGGCCCCUAUUUAUAAGUGUUCACGCUCUAGUUGAGGUCUGGGUGUGCGGGGAAGUGUUAAGAAGUCCCACAUUGGUAGAGGAAUGGGAAUUUGUUCUAUAUGGACUUGGACAAACCUGCCCUCAUAAGCUAGCUUUUAAGGCUGAGUUAGACCCUGGUGUCAUAUCUAAACAUAUUUAUUCCCUAGUAAGCCUAAUGCUUACCACAUCCAAAAUUUUAUGCUUUAUAGAAACUAAUUGCAGUAAUCUCGUGAAGUCAACUAACUGAACUUCCUCUUCUAUAUAUUGUUCUUUACACCAAGAACAUAAAGAAGUUAUGACUGUCCACUUGAUCUUCUAUAUGGAGCUCUCUUUACCUUCAAAAAUCCUCUCAUUUCUCUACUUCCAAAUGUUCCACCAAAUAAAGUCAGGUAUUGUUUUCCACCACCAAAUCUUCUAGCACUUACUACCUCCCAUCCUAAUCCAACAACUUAAAAGAUAAGCAGUAGGCUAUGGCAUAGACCAGUUCACCUUAGCUAAAUUGACGAAUGAUGCCCACCCUUGUGCUGUAACUCUUACAUGAUGAGCAUCAUGAAGCAAUGUAGGUUUCCUUUUUUAGUACAUCGUGAAUCCGACAAGUUAUAGCUCUUCUGACUACUAGCAUGGUGAAGCAUUUCAACUUAAUUGGUGCCUCAUUUUUUCAUACACACUUCCAGGGUCCUGUUGACCUCUCUGUUACUUUAGUCAGCCUCCUAUUGUACACCCCAUUUAUCAAGAAUAGUCCACCCUGAUGAUGUUUCCAUAACAUGUUAUCAGGUUCCAUAGAAACCAUUAUUAUUUGUUAUCUAUUUGCAUUAAAGGUUUAAAUUUGUAUUUUAACUUGGUACUUGGUUUCUCUGCUGAUAGUUUGGUUGAUUUUCAUUUUACCAAUAGUUUAGUUUGUUUCUACCAACUUUGGGGUUAAAAGGUGAAGUAGAGGAAAGAGUUGAACUUGCAGAUCAAGUGUUUAGCUAAAGUCUUGAUCAAGAUUAGGCUUGAUUGCAUGGAUUACUACGCAUUUCUCUCCUUGAUCUUCUUUCUAAAUAUGUGGCAUGCCUUUUGAAUUUUUUUUAAUAAAAAAUCUUGUCCGUUUAAAGUUAACUUUAUUGCUUUAGAUUUUCUUUGUCCAAAAUUUUCUGUAUAAUAAUACUAAUUUGAUAAAUUGUUGGGGGAAACAAGUCCAACAGUAGUAAAGAGGGUAGAACAGUGUCAUCAAAGACGCACUUAAGCCCUGAAGUGAGGCUCAAACGUGUUGAGCGCUUCGCCUCGCUUUUUGUGCGCUUCAGUGUCGUCAUUAAGGUUUUAAGGCAAACUUUUCCUUGUCAAUAAGCCUCUUCUGAAGAACCGACACUAUACAAUUAAUAUUUCACUUUAUCAUAAAUUUUUUUUCAAUUUCUUUGGUCAUAUCUCAGUCAUUCAUGUUUUAUAGUUAUUAGUCUUGGACUAAAACAUAUAUAUUUGUAUUCUUUUCUCUCUUUGUGCCUUUUGUCAUUGAAGCCCACACUUUAUUUGUGCUCUGCGCUUAAAGCCCCAACGGACCUUAGAACUUUUUUUGCGCUUUUUGCCUUUGAUAACACUGGGAUAGAACACUUGCAGCAAUAAAAAGUUUGGGAGCAACAAAUUUAAUAUCCAUGGAUUCUGGACAAACAAGCUAAUACCCCAACUCUGAUAAGAAAUAUGCUGAUAGAAAUUUAAGGUGCCGUGAACUCUACCAAUUAACGAUAGCUAAUGAAAAGCGUAUUCUUAAUAUGAAAAACUCUUGCUAGACUUCCAAAACUGGUACAUAUCAGAUCUAAAAUUAAUUAAACUCUGGAUAGGACACACCGUUUUACAACUACCCUUUUUCAAAAAAACACAAACUCUAUUUCACCGUUUUGCGCAAAUGCUUACUUCUUCCUCUGCAUGAAUAUGUCUUUUGACUUACUAUUCUGAACAUCUAUUCUGAUCAUUACCUGAUCCACACAGUUACUGAGCUUCCCUCAUUUCCCGCUUUUUACAUAGGAAGUCUUCAUUCUAUCUAUACGGAAGGUAAGUUACUGAAAGUUGUCAUAACUUCAGCCGAAUCUACAAAAAUUCAUUAAUAUUUAUUGACAAAUAUUUUUAUAUUAGGUUCAAGAUCAGGUGCUUGUAAUAAAAACUGCAAUACAGCUAAGCCGUCCAUUACUAAAGGUCCUUUGACAGCACAACCAUUGUUGAACAAGCGAUAUUUCAUCAACGAGCUCUUAGAUGUUGGCACAACGGCUUGUUCAGCAAUGAUUCUGCUGCCAAGUGAACUUUGGAUGACACUGGCUCAACACUCUUAAGUUCAUCCCAUCAGCUAUCACAGAGUUUUUAUUCCACUGAUAUGCCUUUCAUGCCUGCUGCACCCAGAACAUUGUUGCUCUAACACAGAGAAGAGCUUUCUUACUCUUUCCUAUUCGUUUUUUCUUUCAAUUUCCAUUUUUUUUGUCAAAUUUGGUUUUUUCUUCUCAGAUUGCUCAGCUGAAGUAGUGCUCUUAACAAAAGAAAUGCAAAACAAAUAUUGGUUCUUAAUAGGAAAAGCAAGUUAAAACUUAUAUUUUUAGGUAUAUUGGCUACCUAACAGUACCAUAGAUGUUGUCUGGGUUAUUGAUACAAAAGUAAUAAACUAUUCAUGCCAUUUUUUGUUACGAAUAUGAUAUACGCAACCAUUUCAAUUGAAGUGAUUUUGCUUUUCAGUUUUACAGGUGAAAACCAAAUUAAACCGAUCCCAGAUGCUGUUCAUGACGAAUCACUUUGUCUGGUUGAUAGUAACUAUAAUCAAAGUAAACCUAUUGAGAUUUGGAUGAUGAGAGAGUAUGGUGCAGCAGAUACAUGGUGAAGCAGUUCUGGGUUAGUUAACUAUUAUGAUGUAAGGUGUGAUCUAGAUGAGCUUGUGGUUACUCAUAAAUUGGUGAAGCCAAUGACUAUAAGGAAUAAUGGUGAAAUCAUAUGGAAAGUGAGCUGUAGAUUAUUGGUUUCAGUUGAUCAUGUAGUUGAAAAGUUUAAAGAUGUGUGGUUACUCAUAAAUUGGUGAAGCCAAUGACUAUAAGGAAUAACGGUGAAAUAAUAUGGAAAUUGAGCUGUAGGUUAUUGGUUUCAGUUGAUCAUGUAGUUGAAAAGUUUGAAGAUGUUGGCCAUGGUCACUCUACAAAUGGUUGGUGUCACAUUCCGCAUUAUGUCGAUUAUUACAAAGAGAGCUUAGUUUUACCUGAUAAAUGAACAGAUAAUUGUGUUGGAGAUGCUUGUGAAGAAAGAAAGAAAGAACAAAAGCUCUUUGUUAACUAGUUAGCUAUAUUGCACUUGAUUUACUGACUUUAGGUAAUGGCUAUGUUUUGGCUUUUGGCAAAAUGUAUGAACAGUUGAUAGUGGACUUGAUUACUUGAGUUCUGCAUAUUCUAUAUAUGAAACAGCCACAAAUUUAUAAAAAAGGUUUAUUUGUGCAUA